rnacentral:rRNA from 1 species
UACGUAGGGGGCAAGCGUUAUCCGGAAUUACUGGGCGUAAAGCGCACGCAGGCGGUUCGCCAAGUUUGGAGUGACAGUUGUCGGCUCAACCGACAAAGGACUUCAAAAACUGGUGAACUUGAGGACGAGAGAGGAACAUGGAACUCCAGGUGUAGUAGUGAAAUGCGUAGAUAUCUGCAGGAACACCCGUGGCGAAGGCGGCUGACUGGAUCGCAACUGACACUGAGGAACGAAAGCUAGGGGAGCAAACAGG